rnacentral:tRNA from 1 species
UGCGGGAUCGUCUAAUGGUAGGACAAAGGCCUUUGAAGCCUUCGAUCUUGGUUCGAAUCCAAGUCCCGCAA